rnacentral:lncRNA from 1 species
AUGCACCGGUGAGGAGGUGUGAGCGACUGGCUAUGGUGGGUACGAGGAGAGGUAGAGGGAGACCUAAGAAGUAUUGGGGAGAGGUGAUCAGGCAGGACAUGACGCGACUUAGGGUUACUGAGGACAUGACCCUUAACAGGGAAUUGUGAAGGUCGAGCAUUAAGGUUGUAGGUUAUGGGGAAAUUGUGAAUAUUUCUACAACGCACUAGAGUGACACUAGCCAGUUAGGAGUUAGUCUUAGAAUGCUACUGAUCAGCUACUGAUGAUGGGCUUUAUCUGUUGGUUAUUAGUAUACUUUACAUCUUUCUCGUAUUUCCUAUAUUUCUUAUAUUGCUGUUAUUUUGUUAUUUUAUGUUAUGUUAUGGAUUUUAUGUUAUUUUAUGUUAUUUUAUUAUGAGUCUAUUGAUAGUACUAAUAUAACGUCUCUUGUUGCUUUCUUGAGCCGAGGGUCUCCUGGAAACAGCCUCUCUGCCCCUCGGGCUAGAGGUAAGGUCUGCGUACAUAUUACCCUCCCCAGACCCCACUUGUGGAAGUAUACUGGGUUGUUGUUGUUGUUGUUGGUCUUUCUCGAUUAGGACCACGGUUUGUAUUGCUGUUCUGAAUUCUCCCUCAAUUUCAUACAAUUUUUCCCUGUAACCAUGCAACAUAGAAGUAUCUGUUUUAAAUCUCGAUGUUAAAUCAUUAACAUUAAAAGAAAAUUAACCAUUCAAAAAAUAACCAAAACCCAAUACAGUUUUACCCAAAUCAAGAAAUGCAGAUGAAAACAGUGGAAUCUAAUUAAUUAGAAAAUAAUUAAUAAGAAUAAGAUGAGGAGAUAAAACCAAAAAUAACGGAAUUAUAUAUGGUGAAGAUGCUGACAAAUCUCAUACCAACUUAUCAAUCAGCAAGAUCAGAGAGACGGAGGGAGAAACAGUGACAGGGUAAGUAAACCAAGACAGAAAAAGAGAGCCAAAAAUUCAUACCAAGAUGAACAUAGAAGAGAAGCAGAGAGCACGCCCAAGGUUUUGAGGCACUGCAAGGAAAUAACUUGAUACGUAGUGGCUUAUGCAGACACACAUAUGGAAAAUUUCUGAAGUUAUAUUUACCAUUUUACAAAUUUACGAAAAGAACAAUAAAUUGAGAGCUAAUCUGCUAUUAUCCAAAACAUGCAAAAAUAAUAAUAAUCUAAAAUUAGCAUUUAUUCCCAAAUCAACCAAAGAAAUGCAGAGCAUAAAAUGAGAAAAACAGAGGAAAUAAAAAAGAAAAGGAGGAAAACAUACAUCCACAAUCCUAGCAAGAGUCUUGGGAGUGAAGAGGAAAGACGAUUCUUGUAGUUAGACCCAUUUGGGUUCAAACCAAUCAUAUUCUAAGUUCCAAAACCCAAAAAAUUGCAACAAAAAAGACAGUAGAAUGAAAUUAAAGAGAGAAAUCACCAAAAGAUAACCCAUUCGAGAGAUAAGAGGAAGAAGAAUCGUUAGAAAGAUAACAUCAUAAGAAUGAAUUAGGGCUCGAAUUUUACUGUGUAUAAAAAUACAGUGACCAUCUUCAAAAGACCCCAAAUAUAUCAAGAGAGUUGAAAAAGAAAUCAAAAAAUUAAAAUAAGAGCAAAAGGGAAAGAGGAAGAAGAAAAAGAACAACUUACCAGGAAGAGGGAUGGGCUCUGAAAUGGUAGC